rnacentral:tRNA from 1 species
GUGUGUGCUAGCUCUGUGGUUAGAGAUUAGGUCUUGUGACCGGAAGAUCCUGGGUUCAAAUCUCGACAAACGCA